rnacentral:lncRNA from 1 species
UCUUUUUUUUUUUUUUUAAGAUUUUAUUUAUUUAUGUGACAGAGAGACAGCCAGCGAGAGAGGGAACACAGCAGGGGGAGUGGGAGAGGAAGAAGCAGGCUCACAGCAGAGGAGCCCGAUGUGGGACUCGAUCCCGGUACGCCGGGACCACGCCCUGAGCCGAAGGCAGACGCUUUAACGACUGCGCUACCCAGGCGCCCCUCUAAUUAGUGUCUUGAUACAAGAGCCCUUAUUACCGUGUCACAGAUUCGUGGAGGGGAGGGGCGGCUUUAAAUACACUGAUAGCUGGAUUUCAGGAUAAUUGGCCCCCUUGUCAUCUUGUGGGUUUUACUGUGUGCAUUUAAAGGCAUGAUUCUAGGAAGGGGUCGAUGGAGUGAAAAAGCCUCAUUUUAUUUUUAUUUUAGUCUUAUUAAGAUUUUAUUUAUUUGAGAGAGAGAGACAGGGAGAGAGCGAUUGAGCAGGGGGAGGGGCAGAGGGAGAGGGAGAAGCAGGCUCCCCAUUGAGUAGGGAUCCCAAUGCGGGGCUGGAUCCCAGGACCCUGAGAUCGUGACCUGAGCGGAAGGCAGAUGCUUCACCGACUGAGCCCCCAGGCGCCCUGGACAACCUGCCUCUUUAAACAUCCUUUGAGCUCCCAGUUACUGGGGCUACUGUUUUGUCUUGCUGUGUUGCCGAUCUCUGAAUCAGGGAGUCUCCGUGUGACAAGUCUCCCUGUGUCCUUACAGCCCUCUCCCCAAGGCACAAGCUGACNNNNNNNNNNUGUAGCUCUCUCCCUCCCCAGCAGUCAAAACCGGGUGAAGAAAUUCUGGCACAUUCUACAACAUGAAUGAGCCUCGGAGACAUCAUGCCAAGUGGAAUAAGCCAGUCACAAGAGAACAGAUACUGUACGACCCCACUGCGGAGGUGCUGAGAGCAGUCGGGUCCAUCCAGACGGAAAGCAGAACGCUGGCGGGCAGGGCUGGAGGAGCGGAGCGGGCGUCAGUGUGUAAGCGUUUAGAGCUUCAAGUUCGGAGGAGAGCUGGUGGUGUUUGCACAACGUGCAGGAAGAUGCCUCCGCUGUGGAAACGGGGACGCCGCAUGCCCCCACCGAGCUGCUUCUGGGAUCUGGGAGCAAGGGUCUAG